rnacentral:rRNA from 1 species
UGCGAAGGGGGCUAGCGUUGUUCGGAAUUACUGGGCGUAAAGCGCGCGCAGGCGGCUAUCCAAGUCAGUGGUGAAAGCCCGGAGCUCAACUCCGGAACUGCCAUUGAAACUGUUUAGCUUGAGGACGAGAGAGGUGAGUGGAAUUCCCAGUGUAGAGGUGAAAGUCGUAGAUAUUGGGAAGAACACCGGUGGCGAAGGCGGCUCACUGGCUCGUAUCUGACACUCAGGCGCGACAGCGUGGGGAUCAAACAGG